rnacentral:lncRNA from 1 species
UUUGGCUAAUUUGAUCUUCAAUUCUCAGAUCAUGUACCAAUUCCUCAGGCAGGUGUUCUUUGUUCUUGAUUCUAAAUCGUGUGCUUUCAUUGAUCUUCUCUUCCACAGAACACUAUUCUGUUUCCUAAUAACAAUUUGUCCAAUUGUUAAUUAUGUGUUUCGUUGUACAAUGUCUCUCUUCUCUCAUUAGUCUGCAUACACCAUAUAAGACUCAAUGUUCUGCGGCGAAAUGCGACGUUCUUUAUUUUAGUGUGUCAUCAAAGGCGAUGAAAAUAUCAUUCUAGCCUUCUAGGCUUAACCCUGUGGACUCUCGAUGACUAGAAGUUUCAUGUGAGCAGCGCACACACCCAGUCAGCGUGAGCAGCAGCACUGGCCCACGCAGGUCCACGGCACGGAAAGGAGAUUCGAUUCACAAAUCUGUUACCCGGACAUUUUUAUUCAUCGCCACGAGAUCAUUACAGCGACAAGCCCACAUCUGACGUUUAUGAUCUUGUUCGCUUUGCCAAAGUGGAGGAGGGGGGCAGACAGCUUGGGGGAUCUACAGCAGGAGGGAAAUGGCACCACUCAGACUCCUGCAAGCUCGUCAGCCACUGCAGGGAUUCUGAAGACCUUUUUUCUCGUCCAGGCUCCGCUGGCUGGUGCCUUCCAGGUUUUCUUUGGAUGCAUGAGUACGAGCUUGUUAGCUCAAAUCUGUUGUGCAAUUGUCCUUUUUGUGUGCCUGGCUGGAUUCCCUCGCACUAACAUUUAAAAAGAGCCCAUGCACAGAACUGAACAGGGGAUAAAGAUUUUGUGCACGACAGACCUGACUCAACCGCAACCAGCUGGCGCUUCUGCUGGGCUCUACUCUUGCCUAGGAAUGCUUCUAGCACCUUCCGCAUGACCAUUGGCUCUAAAGAUGCCUCCUGUUUAUCUUCUCCUCCUUAACAAAUAGUCUCUGUAGCGGCUGCAGUAAAUCUCUUUCAGUCUGGAGGCAACAGCCCUUGGGUGUUUGUCCUUUUUCCUCCCUCCGCUUCUCCCCCCUCAGCCUGCGUGUGUCUUUGACAAUAAUUGUCUUUGACAAUUAUUUCAAAAUGUCCGUACUUUUGGCCUCUUGAUGACAAAGAAAAGAGCCCGUAAAGUGCAAGGAAACUUCUCUCUAUUUCCAUUCAGACCGCAGUACACAGGCAGGGCAGCAGGUCCCGGGGAAAGGGGCAUUUGCCUGCUCUGUUUCCCAGUUGAGGGGCAGAUAAUAAGCGGCAGGGGCUUCUGCCUACAGCCAUCAUGACACAGGACCCAACUCAUCCUUUUUUAAUGGCAAUAAAUAAAUGACGGAAGUUUUAGCCACUAGACUAGUGAAUUGGUGGUUAAGCCUCAGGCUUUUAUCUCCCUGACCCCUGUUUGAACUCAACCUUGGUUCCUAAGUGCAGGGCAGACAAAGUGGGGUGGGAGGAGGGUUUCUUAUCGACAUGAACACCCCUUCCAGCUCAACAUAAAGAAAUAUGAUGCCAUGUGUGUGCCUGUGGCUCAGAGCAAAAGAGGGUAGGGAAGGAUUUGUUGGGACAAAGUGAGAAGAGACUUAAAUACCAGCUACUAUUUCUGGAUGUCUAUCCCAUAGCUUAAGAGUUUAAUAGAGAACAUAUUAAUGAAUUCCACUAGCAUUUAUAGAGGGAGGGGAUUAUCAGUUGUGUGCGAGGCCCUGUGCACACUGCUGGAGGUAGAAGUUUAAAAAGACAAACUGAGGAAGUUGGAAAUGGGGAAGCCCAAAGCUGACACCAGCCCAGGUGAAUAUGUAUUGAACCAUGAAUAUGUCAAUCACUGUGUUAAAACACUUUAUGUGCAUUAUUUCACUUUCUUCUGUUUAUCUUCUCCUCCUUAACAAGUUGUUGGAAUCCUCACAACAACUUUAUGAAUCAGGUACUCUUGUUUUCUAAUUUUACAGAUGAGGCAGUUGUGAUUUAGAGAAGUUAUGUAAUUUAUCCAAGGUUACAUGCGUGGGAAAUGAAGCCAGGAUAAAAAUCCUCAUCUAACUCUGUAUUAUAUCACUUUCAUGAAAAAAAAAGUGCUUACUGCAUGAGGUUCUCUAGUUUGAUAGAUGAUGACUCCAUUUUCCAGUCAAGAUUCCAUAUGCAUAUUCUGGCAAUUCCGAAUGUAUUCAUGAAAACUGUGGGUCUGACUGUUUGAGAUUAAGAUACUAUCUUUAUGCAGUCCAUUUUCUUAUCUGAAAAAUGAGCAUGAUGAUAAUGAUCUUCAGUGUCUCUUGGUCUGAUAGUUUUCAAAAUGGUUUAGAGAAUAAAUGCCUGUAUGGAAACUAGGUUUGGAUGCCUUCUUGGCGAUAACUGUUCACCGUGCCUUCCAGCAAGAUUCCCAAGUACUUUGCCUAAGCCAGGCUUCCAACAUUGUGAGUAACAUGUUGAGUUCUAGAAUAGUUCUAUCCUAAUUAGGUACACAGUACUACUCUAAAUAGGAAUAAGGCAAAGGGUGAAUGUUGUUUCAUAGUGGUUGCUAAGGUGGAUGAUCAAGAAACAUUCAUCAUGUGGGAUAGUGUACGUAUUUGAUGCCACAGAUAUGCUUUCUGGUUUAAUAGUUAAGAGCAAGUAGGCAUCUUAGGCAUUUAUAUGUUUGUUUUGUUUUAUGCCAAGGGAAGGCUUGGAUAACUUGGAUGUCAGAAGAUCUCCUCUCAUGUUCCCAGCUACUGUCCUAGAAACCAAUCUACCCGUUCCAUUAAGACAGACCUCUGGGCCGGCUGCGGUGGCUCACACCUGUAAUCCCAGCACUUCGGGAGGCCAAGGCGGGCAGAUCACCUGAGGUCGGGAGUUUGAGACCAGCCUGACCAACAUGGAGAAACCCCAUGUCUACUAAAAAUACAAAAAUUAGCCGGGCAUGGUGGCAGAUGCCUGUAAUCCCAGCUACUCGGGAGACUGGGGCAAGAGAAUCUCUUGAACCCGGGAGGCAGAGGUUGCAGUGAGCUGAGAUCACACCACUGCACUCCAGCCUGGGCAACAAGAGUGAAACUCCAUCUCAAAAAUAAAAUAAAAUGAAAAAAAAAAACCCUCUGGUUCUUCUGGAUCUAGACUGUGGUUGUAUGGUUGUCUGAGUAAGACCAAUGUAGGUAUGAUUCGCCUAAACAACCUACCACAAGUUAAAAAAGAGCAGCCUUUAGGCACAAAGACCCAAGUCUUAGGGAGUCUUUGAAAGGAGAAACCAAAAAAUACCUGGGUAUGUUACUUAGGAAUUAUAACAUGCCCAGGUAUUUCAUUGCCCAGUGGAAAAGCCUAGCCAUCUUGUGUCCCAGCUUCAGUUUACUCCCAUUCCCUUUAUCCCAACAAGAUUACCCCUAACCAUGCCUCCCAUUUUAGCUUCCCAGGUUGCUGCUUUCUCUCUCUCUUUCCUUAAGGUUCACAUCUGACUCUCCUCUAAAGUAUGGAUUAAGACCCACAUUAUCCCUUUGCCUGACUGAUUCUGUCGACUAUGAGACACGAUGCUAUGACAGGAAGUACUCCGGCUUGAAGUUAACUGCACUACGGGUUGAAUCCUGAAAUCCUGACUCAGUAGCAUUUUGUCUUUGCCUCCUUUGCCGAGUUUUCUAGCUUCAUAAAAAUGUCAAUUCCCCCAUCUCCCAAAGGCAGGGAAAAACUGAAAUUACAUAGAUAAUAUCAGAUGACAUAUCUAGA